rnacentral:rRNA from 1 species
AGAGUUUGAUCCUGGCUCAGAAUGAACGCUGGCGGCGCGCCUAAUACAUGCAAGUCGAGCGAGAAGACGUAGCAAUACGUUUGUAAAGCGGCGAACGGGUGAGGAAUACAUGGGUAACCUACCCUCGAGUGGGGAAUAACUAGCCGAAAGGUUAGCUAAUACCGCGUACGCUCCUUGGACUUCGGUUCAGGGAGGAAAGCGCUACCGUGGGUAGCGCGCUCUUGGAUGGGCUCAUGUCCUAUCAGCUUGUUGGUGAGGUAACGGCUCACCAAGGCUUCGACGGGUAGCUGGUCUGAGAGGACGACCAGCCACACUGGCACUGCGACACGGGCCAGACUCCUACGGGAGGCAGCAGUAAGGAAUAUUGCGCAAUGGGCGAAAGCCUGACGCAGCGACGCCGCGUGGGGGAUGAAGGUCUUCGGAUUGUAAACCCCUUUCGGGAGGGAAGAUGGAAUGGGGUAACCCAUUGGACGGUACCUCCAGAAGCAGUCACGAAUUCCC